UCUGAGCUCAAGGAGAUCCCGGUGGUGAUCAUGUCGUUGGCGAACGUGCCCAACCGGAUCAGGCGUUGCAUGGAGGAGGGUGCCGAGGACUUCCUGCUCAAGCCUAUCAGGCCUGCAGGGAUUUAUUUUUAACAAACAAAGGCAACAAAAAUACCCAUGUCAUCCUCAAACCGCACUCCAUUUCAGGACAUAACGAAUGGGCAAAACCUAGGUGAUUAACAACAGACCUUGCUAUGCACUCGCUUAUUAUUUUGUGGUCGUAUAGUAAAUCGUGCCAUAAAUGCAGAUAUUAAAGAGGCCAAAAGGCAGAGGAAUCGAGAAUAUUAUGCAAAAAAUAAAGGUGAUAUUUCAAAACGGCAGCGUCAAGCACAAGAACUUAAAAAACAAGCGGCUUCGAGGGAUGCUCCGAAUGACGAUAACAUGUCAAACGCCAGCUCCUGGACAAUCCGGAGUCACCCAACUGAAAUCCAAAACACCAGGUCAUGUGUUCUUUACUUGCAUAUAUAGAAUUUUCAUCUGCAAUGAUUUUUUUUGGUGAAUUUGCAUCUGCAAUGAUUUUUAUAGAUAUGGCUCCACUUGUUCAACAGACUUAUGCAUCUCAAUUCCCUCAAUCAGAACCAUCACGGUUUUAUGCAGGUGUUAAAGGCGGAAAGCUACUGUGGGCUGCAGUAAUGUUUCUCUCGAUCAACUGGCAACAUGUACCUUGCGAUCUGAUGAGUCUGGCUCGGGUACUGUCCUAUCAAACACAGAUCAAGGUCAACAGCAGCAAAGUGGCAAGAGUUGGUAUGCUACAUUGUCUGACAAGAAAAAGGCAGAGUACAUACACAUGCAGAGUUUAGCUCGCCAGCGAAAGAAUGCUGCAACUCGAACACUGUUAAUCAUGCAAAAGUGUCUCCGAUACAGUGUACCCCAUUGAGCAACAUAACCGUGUCGCUUGAAAAUGAUGCAAGCCCGAAAAGUAUGUGCACAAUUAAACUGUUUCAUGUGAUAUGUAUUUCAUAACUGGGAGCGGGAAAACUUCCACGCGAUGCAGCAAGUCAAAAAUGCUUGAUGAAGAUGAUGGUGAUUGGCUACACAGUAAUUUGGCUUGCAUUCCUUCCACAUCUUCAGGAGGACAUGGGCAAAAGAGAUUCGCUGAAAAAAGUGCAUAUUCCAAUAAGAAACGACAUCGUGAUUCUUUUGAGCAGAAACGACAACGUGAAAGGAAACGAUACUCAUCAAUGACAGAUGGAGACAAGGAAAUUUUCUUCCGCAAUAACAGGGAGUACAAGAAAUUAGUUCAGGAAAAGGAUUCUCCCUUGACCACCUCACGUUGCACACCUGUCAUACAAAUACAAACACGCAAAACUAACCCAACAUGUAUUCUUUGUCACCUCACUAUGUCAAAUUAGUACAUUUCAGAUCUGAUAUUUAACUCAUAUACUUAUUCGAUGGAGUGCAGACCAAGUUCACACAAACACUGAUGAUGAGUCCGAUCCUGCGGGCAUUUUUGAGCCCUUACCAGUGAGAGAGAUGUUAUAGGAGAUUGAGAUUAGAAGUUGUUGCACAGAUCCGCAAGAUAUCACAUACUCAGAGUAUAGAGAGGAGAUGAUGACCAAGGAGGUAUUGAGGAUGAACAGGGUAGAGUUGCACAUGUGGGGUUGCUAGCCGUAGCUGAAAGCUGCCCUGAUUUGGGUGUGGACAUUACAAAUGCAGCUCUAGAAGCCAUUGGUCGGUGACGAUGGUGGUUGGCUCGAGUAGGGGGAGCUCCGGGCAUCUGUCACAUCUUCUCGUAUUAUUACAAUUUGGUCAUGAUUGAUUUUCUUCAGCAGCCACGGUAGUAAAAUGUUCGAUGUUUGUGUAUGCAUCUUCUAUAGCUAUUGUAAAAUGCUGCUAUGAAGGGAAUCAAGUUUUAUAUCUUUAUAUUUUAGUGAACUUCUUGACUUCAAUCUACAAAUUAAGGAGAUUAAUA